rnacentral:rRNA from 1 species
AGCAGCCGCGGUAAUUCCAGCUCCAAUAGCGUAUAUUAAAGUUGUUGCAGUUAAAAAGCUCGUAGUUGAAUUUCGGGAUCAAUAUGUUGGUCGUGCCUCGGUACGUACUAGCAUAUUGGUUUCUCCUUUCUGAAGAACCAUGAUGUCAUUUAUUUGGUGUCGUGGGGAAUCAGGACUGUUACUUUGAAAAAAUUAGAGUGUUUAAAGCAGGCUCACGCUUGAAUACAUUAGCAUGGAAUAAUGAAAUAGGACGUUUGAUUCUAUUUUGUUGGUUUCUAGGAUCGACGUAAUGAUUAAUAGGGAUAGUUGGGGGCAUUAGUAUUCAAUUGUCAGAGGUGAAAUUCUUGGAUUUAUUGAAGACUAACUACUGCGAAAGCAUUUGCCAAGGAUGUUUUCAUUAAUCAAGAACGAAAGUUAGGGGAUCGAAGACGAUCAGAUACCGUCGUAGUCUUAACCA